CAAACAGCCAGCCUCUCCGGCAAAGCAAGAAUGGAGUAAGCGAAGUCCAGCAGCACCACCUCCCUCCUUGUCCGGAAACUGUGGGCCAAGUCUACCAUGACCACUCGUAGAAGCACUCAUCUUCCUCAGCCUGUUCCCUCCUCAAUCAUCCUCCUCAACCAAAGUUGCCAUUCCAAGUUAUGGGUCCCAUGCUCAGAUAAUGGAGUGUGAGACGGAGUCCUGAACAGUCUCGUGUGAUUCCUUCUGCCUAGAGAGAACUCUACCAACCCAGGCUUCGCUACCUUUUGAGCUGAAUUUGAAAGUCCAAAAACAGAUGAUAAUGUUUAACAACAAACGUUCAGAAAACAAAAGUUGAUGAGAUUCAGGUUGGUGAAAGGCCUCUGUCUCUAUUGGAGCCAUAGGGAGCCUGAGUUCAUUUUACAGUCUUUACUCACAUUUUAGAAAGAAUUUAGUUCCUUGGCUAGAACCCAGCCAUAGAAGGGUGAUCAGGAUGACAAGGGGACUAGAACCCACAAAGCUUUCUGGGAUCUAUCACUGUCUUCAGAAGGGCUGUCAUGGGGGAGAAGAAGUAGACUUCCUCUGUGUGGCUCCAAAGGGCAGAGCUGCAAGUGAUAGGUAGAAAUUCUAGGGAGUCACACUUUGGUUCAAUGGGAGGAAGAACUUCCUAAUCACCUGGGCCAUUUUCUUGACCUCUGCUCUGCCUACAGCUGUACCCUCCAGACCACUGGACCUUGCCAUCCACCCUGCAGCCAAGGUGCUCUCCCCCCUCACCCCAUCCCUGUUUGCCACUUAGUACCUUAAUCAAAUCAAUGCUGCCCUUGAUCCUGGGAAGGCCUAGUCAAUCUAAUCCCCUAUGGCUUUACAGGUCAAGCAGGUGGCUUCCCAAACCAAAAUACCCCUUCCUCACUACCGAUCUCCUGUUUUGUGUUUCCCCCUUUAUAGAAGGUAAGC